rnacentral:rRNA from 1 species
AUUGAACGCUGGCGGCAGGCCUAACACAUGCAAGUCGAACGAGUGGCGGACGGGUGCGUAAUGUCUGGGAAACUGCCUGAUGGAGGGGGAUAACUACUGUAAACGGUAUCUAAUACCACAUACCAUCGGAUGUGCCCAGAUGUGAUUAGCUAGUCGGUGGGGUAAAGGCUCACCUAGGCGACGAUCCCUAGCUGGUCUGAGAGGAUUACCGGCCACAUUGGAACUGAGACACGGUCCAGACUCCUACGGGAGGCAGAAGUGGGGAAUAUUGCCCAAUGGGCGCAAGUCUGAUGCAGUCAUGCCGCGUGUAUGAAGAAGGCCUUCGGGUUGUAAAGUACUUUCAGCGGGGAGGCGUUACCCGCAGAAGAAGCACCGGCUAACUCCGUGCCAGCAGCCGCGGUAAUUC